rnacentral:lncRNA from 1 species
GGAACUUCCUCUAUCUAUUCCUCUCUCUCUUUUAACCCCUGUGCCGGCAAAGAGGGAAAUAUGCCCACAGGGUUCCCCCAAAGAGCAGGAUCUUUUGAGCCAGAUGUCACAGACCUAAAUCUGGGUUUACCCUGCCACUUUCCAUCUGGAUGACCUUGACUGAGUCAUUUGACCUCUCCGGGCCUCAGUUUCUUCAUCUAUAAAAUAGAUGCAAGGAUCCCUAUCUUAAGGGACUGUCAUGCAGAAUGGAACUGAAACAGGUAAAAUGCCUUGAGCAGGAUUUGGCAUAUGUUUGGUGUUCAAUAAACAGUGUCAUUUGUUAAUAUUACAUAUUUCGUUGACCCUGAGCCCAGCACCAGGCCUGCUUCCUUUCUCCCGUGUCCACCCUGCAUUCCUCUCUUUCAGGCUUACUUUGUGAUACAAAUUUAGAAAGAUGGCAGAGCAGAGGCCUGGAGAAGCCUAGGUGAGGCCCAGGCCAGGCAUGCCCCACCCCCCACCAUAAAUGGGCACAGACACAAGUUCCUCCUCUUUACCCCUCUGCUCUUGCAGAGAGUGGGGAGAAAGUUGCAUUCAUCCUCCGAAAUCUUUCAACCAAUACUCUCAUAAUAAUCUCCAAUGAUAAACAUCUCCAAAAUAAUAAUAAUUAUCUCCAAUAAUCUCCGGAGUUCCUGCUCAGUGUGUUAAGAACUAGACAUGGUGUCCAUGAGCAGGUUCAAUCCUUGGCCUUGCUCAGUCAAUCAAGGAUCUGGUAUUGCCACAAGCUGUGGUGUAGGUUGCAGAUGUGGCUCGGAUCUGGUCUUGUCAUAGUUGUGGCAUAGGCCAGCAGCUGCAGCUCCGAUUUAACCCCUAGCCUGGGGACUUUCAUAUGCUGCAAGUUCAGACUUAAAAAGAAAAAAAAAAAAAAAAAAAAAAAGCAACUCAUACCCAUUGCUAUCAGGGAGGUAGAGGAAUUUCCAGAAAGAUAAAAGUCAGUUCUUAAAGCCCCCUCAAGGCUAAGGAUCUAGACGGUUAUGUAAAACUGAUGUGGCUUGCUAAGGGGAUCUCACACAUGUUAAUUUCUUCGAUGUCUCAUUUUCUGGUGACUGCAAUAUGCAGUACCAUGCACUGUCCUGGACCCUGGGAGUCAGAGCCCUACCCUUGAGAAUAUCACAUAUUGUGGGGGAAAUAACAUAUUCACAAGUAUGGAAAAGACAGUGACCUCCACAGAGGUGCCAGCAUAUCUUCAUUCCUAGCCAACCUCCACUUGCUACAGAAUGGAGCUGGGGGAGGCAAGCAGUGAUACCCAGAGCCCUGUUUUGUCAUUCAGCAUUUCCACUUACAUCCUAAGAUUUUUUAGAGGACAAUAACCAUUAGCUUUGGCAAAAAUAAAUUACAGAGACAUCAUCACUGUUUUGUUUUUCCCUGACUCCCCCUUGGCAUUACAAAUUAGUUCUCACAUCACUUAGGAAAACAGUCUGAACUUUAUAAACCUAAUACAACUUAAUUAUCCCUUCCUAAAGUGGUUUCCACACUUUUAGGAACCACUGAAUGAAGAUGUAUUUCCAGGGUUAUGCAUUCACAUACAAAAAUAGCUGUUAUUAUUAUCAUGAGUUUCAUUGGGAUGUUUCUUGGUACCAAAAAUAUUCCUUUCCUAGAGAAUAAAAAUUAAAACUGACUUGUUUCCCUGUGCCUUCACUGCAGACCAAACAUCAGUGUUGCAAAUCAGUUUGUAAAGAAUGCGUUCCUAAUAGCCACAACCCUUUCUAGAAGUUGCCUGGGAGCAUCCCAAGCCCUGCUGGAAAAUUCCAUAAUAAAAUAACACCAAGGAUCCCCAAACCUCCUUCUCUGUUUGGCUGCCUCUCUGCUGGAUUUACCCUGACGUUUUCUAAACAGACUGUAUGAAAGAGGUGUCUUGUCUGGUUUUGCUGGUUAUCAUUCUCUUUUUUUUCAGAACGAUUUCAGAAAAGACCAUAAGCUUGUGACAGAGUGAAUUUGUGAUCUUAUCCCAUCAUCUGGGCUGUUUGCAAAACUUCAGUAGGUGGCAGCGUUUUGUUGAUAAAUGUUUUGUUAGCCAAGUGAUCUCAUUUAGUGCAACUGUUGCAAUAUUAAUAAACUGAACUUAUGAUCGUGUUUGCCAGGACUGAAAAGAUUGCCGUUCUAUCCAGCGGGUGCUCUUAUCUGAACUGACAGCAGCAUUCAUUGCAUCAGAGGUAGGGAGGGGGGACUCGGUGCAACUGUAUGUGUGCUAUGAUGAGGAGAAAGGAACGGAGGCAGGGGAGAAAAAGCGUUGGGAACCAGGGCUUGAGGUGAAGAAAGGGAACGUAAAGGAACGAAAAGAUGAGGUUACACCCUGUACCUGGCUGGUUCUGACAAAACACUGGGCUGGCCCGUGUGUGCGCUCCUUCCUCGGUGCCCCCUUAUGGUCUGUACUGACCAUAAAAGUGAUCCCUGAGGUCCUAGGGAAACUAGGUGAGGGCCGCUGGCUAUUAGCAAGCAUCUCAGGUCCCUGCAGCAACCACAGGAGAGCUCACAGGAGCUGAAUCCCCUCCACAUCCACUUUCUGAGGCCAGUCAGUGCUCCAGAUGUGUCCCCAAGCUUCCCAGGGCUGGGACAGACACGAUCUAUGCUCUCUCCAAAUCAGAACAACCUCUGCUAGACCGAUCACGACCGUUAGGACAAGUCCCAGAGUGGCCUCUAGAAAGAGGAGGCAGCGCCUCCUUUACCAAAAGCUUCAGCCUGUCACUCAGGGCUCUGCAAUCUGACCCCAACCAUCCAUUGUCUCACCUUUUUUCAUUCCCCUUGGUAAAUAACACCUUCCUUUGCAGGUUGUAAAGAUCUGCCUGGUGAACAGAUCCUUGGGGACUCUUGAGGAAGUGCCCACUUUGACUGGAGACCUAUGGAAGCUACCAUUACACUAGAAGGUUUUCAGAGCCACCUAGACCAGCAUUUCAGGACUGUUCCUUGUGAGAAACCUAGACACUGAGCCCAGAAUCUGCCCUAUACUUUGCCGAUUCCAGAACUUUGCCACUGACAAUGCUUUUACCCACUUGUGAUAUCUCUUAUUCUCUCACCUUCAUCUCUCAAAAUGACACAUUUCAUGAGCAGACCCAAACCCUUCCUCAGUGAUAAAGUCUUCUCUGAUCACCCCAGCUGGAAUGUACGUCUUUCUUGCACGAACACCCACUGCAGUCAUCAGUGACCACUAUGCCAGCUGCCUCACAUUGCUUUAGACCAGGAAGAGGAGGACGUCACUGCUGCAACCGGCCUACUCUUCCUGAAAGCAUGAGGACCUGUCCCACAUGUUUCUACAGGCGCUCAGUGAAAACCUGGUUGGUGCCUCAUCUGAACUGCUUUCCAUUUACAUUUUUUAGGCCAUUUAUUUUUUGGCCUUAUAUUAAAAUCCUAAAACUGCUCUACUUGCAAUGCCCACUUUCCUCUCCAGACUGUCAAUGCCUCACAUGCAAAGGCCUAUUGUUAUCUUUGUAUAACCCUAACACCCAGCACAAUGUCUUACCAAAAAUGUCUUUCAAAUUAAUUAGUGAUGAAAUAAUGCCUCAAUAGUCAAAUUAGCACGCCAGGCAGUCUCACUGCCAUCUGAGAAGACCUCCCUCAAAUCUCUUUUUUGAGAAGUCACUUCUCUAAGAUCCCAGGAUUGAAUUCCUCAGCAAGGCAAGACCCACACAGUCCAUCCCAGCCUCUACCCCACAAAACCUAGGCCUCUGAACAGUUACCCUAAGGACUUCAUGAACGGAUUAAAAAUUAUAAACUGCCUUUGUCUCCAAAACAGCAGAAAGCCAUUUUUUUAACAUCAGUUACUAAUCUUUGUUCAUUCCAUUCAUAAUUUCUUGUUUAUGCUUAUGGUUUCUUAUUUCUGCUUGUAAUUUCUAAGGCAAAACAAUGACCAUUCAUUUCCAUGAAGACAUUCACCUCUUCCUCCUUUCUAAGUCUUCCUAUUAAAGCUAAUCAGGAGUUUGGGAAGAUGCUGGAACUAGUUGUAGAAUAAUUUAGAUCAUCCCAUGGGACUCAGAAGAGCACGUCCUCUUCCCUAAGGGUAUCCCAGGUAGGUACUUGGUAUAAGUUAUAAUAAAGCCCACCCUUGCACAAUGUCUAUUGCCCAACAGAAUGUGCUUUAGCAACACCGUUUUAUCAGCUAGUUCAUCAUGUCAGAGUGGGUGAAGUAAAUUUAGGAGGGCAUGGCCUCCCAUUUACAGGAGGCAUCAUCAUUACAUCCAAAUAUCUUCUGAGAACCUACAGUGAGCACAGGGAUGUCUUUGCCAAAAGCUCUUGGACAGAGAUGGAAAAGAUGGCAUGGUUCAGAAAAUGGAUUUGCGUGCUUAAGCAACAGGCAUUUAUAAAGAAACCAUGAUUUCUUGCCUUCUCUUAGGCAAAGAGUCUGAGGCAGGAAGGAAGAGAAAAGGGCUCUGGUGGCAUUAUUAAAUCCCUCCAGUAUGUCUCCGGGUACUUCAGAGAUCUUUUGUGAUAAAACCCUCUCGAGGUUUGUGUAGGGAAACAACCACCCUUCAGCUUCUAUCCUACAAUCCACAGGGCUGUGUUCCUUCAGAUAAUAUUAGAGUUGAGAUAACUAGAUUUCCUCCAACCCAAUCCCUCCCCACAAAAACCAAUCCAUCGUGGUGCAUGUACAAGCACACACACACACACACACACACACACACACACACGCACACACAGAUACCUAUCCUUCGAUCUGUAGAUGUUUCCAGCAAGAACUACACAUUCAUGGUGAGGCUGAAAAUAAAGCUUUGCUUUAACAAAGAUGUCCCAGGUGUGCAUGUCACAGAAACAAAGUAAUGUGGGUGUUCCCUCUCCAGAUUUAGCCUCACAGCCAGACUCCCUUGGGACCAAAUCACCAUCAAAUAUCUACACUAGCCAAUUAAACCAUGCUCAUUCAUUCUACUUAAGCUUCUAAGCUGCACUUCACUGGAAACUUUGCAUUUAAGUUAACUUGCCUGUGAUUCACUUCAGAGUGUCCUUUAAUGUAGUCAAAUCCCAUCAGAUAAUCAGUCAUUACAUUCAGGGAACAGCCCAUGGCACCAUUCUCCCAUGCUUCAGCCCACACAAUUCCCAACUUGCUGAAGCAAAUGAAGAACUACAUGAUGAGGAGUUCCUUUCGUGGUGCAGGGAAAGUGAAUCCGACUGGGAACCAUGAGGUUGUGGGUUCGAUCCCUGGCUUCGCUCAGUGGGUUACAGAUCUGGCAUGGCAGUGAGCUGUGGUGUAGGUCACAGAUGUGGCUCGGAUCCUGCAUUGCCAUGGCUGUGGUGUAGGUGGGCAGCUGUAGCUCCAAUUUGACCCUUAGCCUGGGAACCUCCAUAUGCCAUGAGUGUGGCCCUAAAA